GGCGAACUAGAGGGUGGUGCUGGGUGCGUCGUACCAUCAGGAGAAGAUCCCCUCCCCCUUGGCCUCUGCUGAAAGCAACAAGGGAACCCCUAAAAGAAGGGCUGAGAAGCCUGCAACAGGGGGACGUGGAUGGGGCUCAACGUCUGGGUCGAGUAGCCAAGCUCUUAAGCAUCGUGGCGCUGGUUGGGGGGGUCCUCAUCAUCAUCGCCUCCUGCGUCAUCAACUUAGGCGUGUAUAAGUGAGGGGCUCUGCCCUGCAUUCCAAGACUUUUCUUCCUGUUGGGAGCUGUCUUGGGUCCAUCCCAAUCCUGGGAGAAUCCCAGUCCAUGGCCCUGGCCCCCACCCCUAGGGACUGAGGGAGCCUGAGCGGGCCUUGUUUACAGCUUCUUCCCUACUCCUGCAUCCUGCCAGGCUCCUCUGCCAGCCGUAGGCUUCCUUUCUCCCUGCACUUUUGCCUGCAGAUCUCCCCUCCUGCCUCUUGACCCCCCUAGUCCUGCACUCUGAAAACCCCUCUGCACUUCUGGACGCCUCCCUGAACAUCUAAAUUGUACUCUGCACCUCCGCAUCCCUCCCAGCCUCCUUGCACUUCUCCCUGCCCCUGGAAUCCUCUGAACCUUAAUUAACCCUGACCUCCCAACUUUCAUUGUCUUGGUAUCUAACCCAUCCCUUUCUUCCCUUCCCUAACAUUCUUUCCCCUUGCCACAUCCCCUGACCCCUUCUCAUCUUUCCCUUAGCGUCUUCACCCUCCUGCCAACACUUAGUCUGCAAAACCUGCAGUACUUAGGUCAGGCUGAGGGAAGAAGGAUGGUGUGGGGAGAGGUCUGCCUAGCUAGGGGCUCUGACUGUUCUCUACUGGGGACCACCCAGGCCCAGAUCAUACCCCCACCCUAACCCCUAAGGUGCCUAUUGGGUCGCAAAGCUGGCAAGCCAGACCUCACCUGGGGUACUUGCACAAGAGUGGGAGUCCUGGUUCUGAACAUUCAGGGGAGGAAGGGGUAUAGCUGUGGCUGAAGAGUCAGCCUAAAUUGACCUGCCCAUUUGGGCUUUUUAACCUCAAGAGUUUCUCGAAGGUCCAUUUAUGUGCUUUGUAAACAGUAGAAUUUUAAAAAAAAUUUAAAAAGGACCAAAGUUCUCAACUGCAGGGAGCAAGGGAAGGGCGCGAGCUCUGUAAUAUUCUCUAAGAGGACGAGGGAGGUUUGUUGCACGCGACAGCCCACUGAGGAGGCAGAGAGCCAGCUGCGAUGCAUUUCGGAGUUGGUCGGUGUUUUUUUUGUUUGUUUGUUUGUUUUCUUUCUUUAAAAAAAGUUGGGGGGAAAACUAAAAUUCCUUUAAAAAAAUAAAACUGAGUCUCCCUUUUUGUAUGCUGAAUGCUGCAUGAGUCUUAAACACUAAUAAACAGAGAAUGCAUGAGACUGGCCUCA
rnacentral:lncRNA from 1 species